CAGUACAGCAGAACCGUGCGAACCAGAAAAAAAGAUCUAUGGGAGGACAAACAAAAGACUGGCGGGAGUUUAGACCAAUCAGAGCGCGGGACUCCGCCGCUUGGACGUUCGGUUUUGAAGCGCGAGCGCUCUCCGCCGUUCCUCCGUUUAAAGCCAAACGCGACCGUUACAGCCGUUUACAGUGAGCGGGUCUCUCAGGGCGCUACCGCGGGCAGUUUAUCGAGUUUGUUUAGCGAGUGUUAAACCUGAUAAGACUCUCUUACACUCCUUACUAAGACAGCGCCGCCUGCCGGGUGACGCUUUCAGCUCCACAAACGAGGAUUUUCAGCUGCGUAGCUGACUAACGAUAACUGGACCGAGUGGAGUGGAGACUGGUUUUACGACUGGAGUCCCGACUGCAGCGGUCAGAGUCUGCUUUUAAAAGAUGUUUCUCAUCAGAAAUCAUCUGAAGCUGAGCAACUGGAACAUCCUCUCUUUGGGCCUCAUCCAGUAUGGUGGCAGUCCAUAUCAUUUUCAACACUCAGUCCAUAUCAUGCUCUUACACAAGUGGCCUCAUCCUGAUGCUUCUUUCAUUACACUGAACAUCAUUGUCUGAACAUCAGCUAUGCGUGUGAGCUGGGUGCCAUGCUGGAGUUCAUGCAUAGGUAUUAUUUAAAGCCUUGUCACAUUUCUUUGUGUACUAAAUGCCUGAGUUGAUUUUAGAUGAGUAAAAUUAUGUAUACUGUACAUUAUAUUCUACUUAUAAAGGGAAUAUAUAAUGCUUUCCCUUUUAUUUACUG